rnacentral:rRNA from 1 species
UACGUAGGGGGCAAGCGUUGUCCGGAAUCAUUGGGCGUAAAGCGCGCGUAGGCGGCCCGGUAAGUCCGUUGUGAAAGUCAAAGGCUCAACCUUUGAACGCCGAUGGAUACUGCCGGGCUAGAGUCCGGAAGAGGCGAGUGGAAUUCCUGGUGUAGCGGUGGAAUGCGCAGAUAUCAGGAAGAACACCCGUGGCGAAGGCGGCUCUCUGGGACGGUACUGACGCUGAGACGCGAAAGCGUGGGGAGCGAACAGG